rnacentral:rRNA from 1 species
UACAGAGGGGGCAAGCGUUGUUCGGAAUUACUGGGCGUAAAGGGCGCGUAGGCGGCCUUCUAAGUCGAACGUGAAAUCCCCGGGCUCAACCUGGGAAUUGCAUUGGAUACUGGCAGGCUAGAGUGCGGUAGAGGAUGGCGGAAUUCCCGGUGUAGCAGUGAAAUGCGUAGAGAUCGGGAGGAACAUCUGUGGCGAAGGCGGCCAUCUGGACCAGCACUGACACUGAGGCACGAAAGCGUGGGGAGCAAACAGG